rnacentral:rRNA from 1 species
CCCGCUGACGAGCGGCGGACGGGUGAGUAAUGCAUAGGAAACUGCCCAGUAGUGGGGGAUAGCCCGGGGAAACCCGGAUUAAUACCGCGUACGCCCUUCGGGGGAAAGCAGGGGAUCUUCGGACCUUGCGCUAUUGGAUGUGCCUAUGUCGGAUUAGCUAGUUGGUGGGGUAAAGGCCUACCAAGGCGACGAUCCGUAGCUGGUCUGAGAGGAUGAUCAGCCACAUCGGGACUGAGACACGGCCCGAACUCCUACGGGAGGCAGCAGUGGGGAAUAUUGGACAAUGGGGGCAACCCUGAUCCAGCCAUGCCGCGUGUGUGAAGAAGGCUUUCGGGUUGUAAAGCACUUUCAGUGAGGAGGAAAAGUUGGUCGUUAAUACCGGCCGGCCUUGACGUUACUCACAGAAGAAGCACCGGCUAACUCCGUGCCAGCAGCCGCGGUAAUACGGAGGGUGCAAGCGUUAAUCGGAAUUACUGGGCGUAAAGCGCGCGUAGGUGGUUUGAUAAGCGAGAUGUGAAAGCCCCGGGCUU